rnacentral:misc_RNA from 1 species
CCGAGUUUACAACUCCCAAACCCUUUGUGAACCUUACCAUAUCGUUGCUUCGGCGGGAUCUAGCCCCGGCGCCCUCGGGCCCGGAACCAGGCGCCCGCCGGAGACCCCAAACUCUUAUGUCUUUAGUGGUUUUCUCCUCUGAGUGGCACAUAAACAAAUAAAUAA